AAAGUCGUAACAAGGUCUCCGUUGGUGAACCAGCGGAGGGAUCAUUAUCGAAGUUACUCUUCAUACCCAUUUGUGAACACUACCCCAUUGCCGCGUGUUGCCUCGGCGGUGAGGUUCGCGGGGGGGGCUGCGCUCCGGCGCUCCCCCCUCCCGGGCCCCCGCCGGCCGCGCCUUACUCUUAAUUUGCAAAGCGGACUGUACGAUCUGAUUAAUCUUGAUAAACAAGUCAAAACUUUCAACAACGGAUCUCUUGGUUCUG
rnacentral:misc_RNA from 1 species